UACAGAGGGUGCGAGCGUUACUCGGAAUUACUGGGCGUAAAGCGCACGUAGGCGGCUUGGUAUGUCGGGUGUGAAAUCCCCGGGCUCAACCUGGGAACUGCAUCCGAAACUGCCUUGCUCGAGUAUGGGAGAGGGAAGUGGAAUUUCCGGUGUAGCGGUGAAAUGCGUAGAUAUCGGAAGGAACAUCAGUGGCGAAGGCGACUUCCUGGACCAAUACUGACGCUCAGGUGCGAAAGCGUGGGGAGCAAACAGG
rnacentral:rRNA from 1 species